UUGCCAGCCCGCUCAGAAACUUAAAGGCAUUGACGGGGCCCGCACAAGCGGUGGAGUAUGUGGUUUAAUUCGAUGCAACGCGAAGAACCUUACCUGGUCUUGACAUCCCGGAGACCCUUAGGAAACUAGGGGUGCUUCCAUCUGGAAGAAUCUGGAGACAGGUGCUGCAUGGCUGUCGUCAGCUCGUGUCGUGAGAUGUUGGGUUAAGUCCCGCAACGAGCGCAACCCUUGCCUUUAGUUGCCAGCAGUUCGGCUGGGCACUCUAAAGGGACUGCCGGUGUUAAACCGGAGGAAGGUGGGGAUGACGUCAAGUCCUCAUGGCCUUUAUGACCAGGGCUACACACGUACUACAAUGGCCGAUACAAAGGGCAGCGACACUGCGAGGUGAAGCCAAUCCCGUAAAAUCGGUCUCAGUCCGGAUUGGAGUCUGCAACUCGACUCCAUGAAGUUGGAAUCGCUAGUAAUCGUGGAUCAGCAUGCCACGGUGAAUACGUUCCCGGGCCUU
rnacentral:rRNA from 1 species